CGGACGGGGUGAGUAAUGUCUGGGAAACUGCCUGAUGGAGGGGGAUAACUACUGGAAACGGUAGCUAAUACCGCAUAACGUCGCAAGACCAAAGAGGGGACCUUAGGGCCUCUUGCCAUCGGAUGUGCCCAGAUGGGAUUAGCUAGUAGGUGGGGUAAUGGCUCACCUAGGCGACGAUCCCUAGCUGGUCUGAGAGGAUGACCAGCCACACUGGAACUGAGACACGGUCCAG
rnacentral:rRNA from 1 species